rnacentral:rRNA from 1 species
CCCUUAGAUGUUCGGGGCCGCACGCGCGCUACACUGAAGGAAUCAGCACGUCUUUCUCCUUGUCCGAAAGGACUGGGUAACCCGCUGAACCUCCUUCGUGCUAGGGAUUGGGGCUUGUAAUUCUUCCCCAUGAACGAGGAAUUCCCAGUAAGCGCGAGUCAUAAGCUCGCGUUGAUUACGUCCCUGCCCUUUGUACACACCGCCCGUCGCUACUACCGAUUGGAUGGUUUAGUGAGAUCCUCGGAUUGGUCCUGGAGCGGCCUCUGGUCGUGCCGGAGUGCCGAAAAGAAUGUCGAACUUGAUCAUCUAGAGGAAGUAAAAGUCGUAACA